rnacentral:tRNA from 2 species
GAGGAAGCAGUAUUAGAGUACUUUAAAUUGUCGUUUUAAGAAUGUUGACUAUGUCAACCUUUCUCU